rnacentral:rRNA from 1 species
UACGGGGGGGGCGAAGCGUUGUUCGGAAUUACUGGGCGUAAAGGGCUCGUAGGCGGCCCUCUCAGUCGGAUGUGAAAUCCCCAGGCUUAACCUGGGAACGGCAUCCGAUACUGGAGGGCUUGAAUUCGGGAGAGGGAUGCAGAAUUCCAGGUGUAGCGGUGAAAUGCGUAGAUAUCUGGAGGAAUACCGGUGGCGAAGGCGGCAUCCUGGACCGAGAUUGACGCGUG